AAUCACUGGGCGUAAAGGGCGCGUAGGCGGAUUAUCAAGUCUCUUGUGAAAUCUAAUGGCUUAACCAUUAAACUGCUUGGGAAACUGAUAGUCUAGAGUGAGGGAGAGGCAGAUGGAAUUGGUGGUGUAGGGGUAAAAUCCGUAGAUAUCACCAAGAAUACCCAUUGCGAAGGCGAUCUGCUGGAACUCAACUGACGCUAAGGCGCGAAAGCGUGGGGAGCAAACAGGAUUAGAUACCCUGGUAGUCCACGCCCUAAACGAUGUACACUAGUUGUUGGGGUGCUAGUCAUCUCAGUAAUGCAGCUAACGCAUUAAGUGUACCGCCUGGGGAGUACGGUCGCAAGAUUAAAACUCAAAGGAAUAGACGGGGACCCGCACAAGCGGUGGAGCAUGUGGUUUAAUUCGAAGAUACGCGAAGAACCUUACCUGGGCUUGAUAUCCUAAGAACCUUUUAGAGAUAAGAGGGUGCUAGCUUGCUAGAACUUAGAGACAGGUGCUGCACGGCUGUCGUCAGCUCGUGUCGUGAGAUGUUGGGUUAAGUCCCGCAACGAGCGCAACCCACGUAUUUAGUUGCUAACGGUUCGGCCGAGCACUCUAAAUAGACUGCCUUCGUAAGGAGGAGGAAGGUGUGGACGACGUCAAGUCAUCAUGGCCCUUAUGCCCAGGGCGACACACGUGCUACAAUGGCAUAUACAAUGAGACGCAAUACCGCGAGGUGGAGCAAAUCUAUAAAAUAUGUCCCAGUUCGGAUUGUUCUCUGCAACUCGAGAGCAUGAAGCCGGAAUCGCUAGUAAUCGUAGAUCAGCCAUGCUACGGUGAAUACGUUCCCGGGUCUUGUACUCACCGCCC
rnacentral:rRNA from 1 species